UUAUCCAUCUUAACCAGGUGCGUUCGCGGCCCUCGAGGGUUCUCUCUCGGGUGGUAGGGGUAACACCCUCACGCGUCGCAUUUCUGAAUCCUUUUUUUACGAGCACCUUUCGUUCUCCUUCGGUGGGGCAACCUGCCGCUGGAACUUAACAAAACCUUUUUUUGCAUCUAGCAUUACCUGUUCUGAUACAAACAAUCGUUACAACUUUCAACAAUGGAUCUCUUGGCUCUGGCAUCGAUGAAGAACGCAGCGAAAUGCGAUAAGUAGUGUGAAUUGCAGAAUUCAGUGAAUCAUCGAAUCUUUGAACGCACAUUGCGCCCCUUGGUAUUCCAUGGGGCAUGCCUGUUCGAGCGUCAUCUACACCCUCAAGCUCUGCUUGGUGUUGGGCGUCUGUCCCGCCUCUGUGCGUGGACUCGCCCCAAAUGCAUUGGCAGCGGUCCUUGCCUCCUCUCGCGCAGCACAAUUGCGUUUCUUGAGGUGUGCGGCUCGCAUCCACAAAGCAACCAUCGUCUUUGACCUCGGAUCAGGUAGGGAUACCCGCUGAACUUAAGCAUAUCAAUAAGCGGAGGAAAAGAAACCAACAGGGAUUGCCCUAGUAACGGCGAGUGAAGCGGCAACAGCUCAAAUUUGAAAUCUGGCUCUCUUUGGGGGUCCGAGUUGUAAUUUGCAGAGGAUGCUUUGGUAUUGUCGGCGGUCUAAGUUCCUUGGAACAGGACAUCACAGAGGGUGAGAAUCCCGUACGUGGUCGCCUGCCUUUACCGUGUAAAGCUCCUUCGACGAGUCGAGUUGUUUGGGAAUGCAGCUCUAAAUGGGAGGUAAAUUUCUUCUAAAGCUAAAUACCGGCCAGAGACCGAUAGCGCACAAGUAGAGUGAUCGAAAGAUGAAAAGUACUUUGGAAAGAGAGUCAAAAAGCACGUGAAAUUGUUGAAAGGGAAGCGCUUGCAGCCAGACUUGCCCGCAGUUGCUCACCUAGGCUUUUGCCUGGGGCAUUCUUCUGCGGGCAGGCCAGCAUCAGUUUGGGCGGUUGGAUAAAGGCCUCUGUCACGUAUCUCCCUUCGGGGUGACCUUAUAGGGGAGGCGUAAUGCAACCAGCCCGGACUGAGGUCCGC
rnacentral:rRNA from 1 species